CUGGAAUGAUAAACAGGGCUUUGCAUUACUAAAGCAUCGAUAAACAUUAAACAUCAUCACAUACUGUACACACACUCCUCCUGUAAUGCACUGCAUGCUGACUGCUCAUGGGAAGGACCCGUUUGAGAGCAGCCAUGACCGAAGGCCAGAUGAGACUUCAGCUUCCUCCAUCUGUCCCUCUCACUUCCUGAGUGCUCAAUGCUCUUUGAUGACUUUUUUAUUUCAUUUUUGGAACAAAUAAGUUUUCUCAACAACAUUUGGGCUUUUAGAGGCUUUAAAAUAUGAUAUUACACUUCCAGAAACUUUCAUUUUUAAAUGUGCAUUUAGCCUUGACUGUCAUUUUAGACUGUAUUGAUUAUUCGUUUCGAUGAUUCCUUACAAAAUAAUCUCUCUUUCUGUUAAAAGCCUCAGAAGGCACGUACUGCAUCUAAUGCAUGUUGCACAAAAAGCGCUUCCAGAAAAGCUGAAGUUUGCAGGCUGGUGAAAUAAAAGCACCUGCUAAAUGACCAAAAAACACGGUAGUACCGUAGCACUGUUUUUUGGGUUGUCAGCGUGACGUUGCAGAUAAACAGUGAUAUCUGAGGCGCAGGGCACAUGCAGGCCGCUGGAAAUGUUGCUUUUAAGCGACUCGCUUUCUCCGGGUUUCCCAUUUCUGCUUUUAUGGAUGGAGUGCCAAUCAUAGUCUCUUGAUAUCUCUCACGCUAACAUUAUUGAGUACAUUACAGCACAUGCCUGAGCCAUGAAAGCAUCAAUAACAUCCUCAUCAGCACGAGACAGACCAGCCCUCAGAAGAGAAGAGUGCAGACAGCAACAAACUCCAAGCUGCAGAGUGAAAACAAGUGAGAAAAACAUAUGAGUUUUUAUUUUUUGCAGAAAAAUAAACUAACAAAAACUAUUUCUAAGAGAGAGAGAGAGAGAGAGAGUGUGUGUGUGUGUGUGUGUGUGUGUGAGAGAGAGAGAGAGUGUGUGUGUGUGUGUGUGUGUGUGUGAGAGAGAGAUAGUGUGUGUGUGUGUGUGUGUGAGAGAGAGAGAGAGUGUGUGAGAGAGAGAGAGUGUGUGUGUUAAUUACAUGAACAGGUGUGUGUGAGUCACAUAUCAUGUUUCAUGUUUGUUUUUACAAUCACAUUCAGUCACAUGAGAGCACAGAGAAAUAUGACGUGAGCCAAAAUACAGAUAUUAAACAUUUCACACUCAAUUUGUACUUCAUUAACUUGAUUGUUUUUAAAAGUUGUAAAUAAAAGUUUAUUGCAGCAUGUUUUACAAGAAAAUGCAAAUUCAGUCUAUUUAUGAAAUAUAUUUAUGAAAUUUAAUAACAAUUUAGAAAGUAAAUCCAACACCAAUUUUUGUGCAUUUCAAUGUUGUUGUUUUUAACCAUUAAGACACUAUUAUAUUUUUUUUUGAAGUAGUUUUUCAUUAUUAUUAUUUUUUUUUAAUUUUAAAGUUUUAGUAAUCUUGUUGUG
ensembl:lncRNA